AGCGGAUUGGUGGGCGGGCGUAUGGCGGCCAGGCCUGGACCGCCACGAGGCUGGGUGGCGCCGUGGGGUUGCUCUUCCUGGCGCCCCAAGUCACCAAGGCUGAAAGGGGAGGUGAGGGCUCUCAGGGACGAACCCUUGUUCUCGCUGAUGGCGGUGGGCGAGCCCACCUAACAGGGAUCCGCCGCCGGGGUGAGGCGAGGAGCAGGCUUUCCAGGGCCUGGAGGUCGAGUGCCCAGACCCUGAGGAGAGGGGCUUACUGCCCCGCUGCAGAGGAGCGGCGCCAGAUGGAUGAGGAGUUGAGGUCGCGGGGGUGCUGAGCCCCGCCGAAGUGGAAGUGACUGGCUACCAGAAUCUGAAAACCCCACAUCACUUGGAUGAGCGGGGAUCAGAGCUGAAACUCCACCACAUACCAGCAGUGGGACCUGAAGGCUGCAGCAAUGUGGCUGAUGUUUGAAAGGCAGCUGGGUAGCCUGGCCACAGGGACCCGAAGAACGGGUAUGCCUUUCUGCUCUGGAGCGUCCUUGGAGCCGUCAGCAGCAGCGUCCCCCCUCUGAAGCCCCGACACGACUCUGUGUGGUACCACUGAACCUCCAUGAUGCCACCUCCUUGAUUUGAAACCUUACCGCUUCAGCCCCUCCCUGAUGGGAGUCUAGCCUCGCCCUCUGAAGGAAAGGUUUGCUCAGAAAACAGAAUUUUGUGCACAGUCUCGGGAGGUAAGGCGUCGUCUUCACCCUCCACCAGAACCUGCCUGUUCUUAAGGGUUUCCGUGUUGCAUGAUCUGCAGAUUAGAGUUGGGUCACGUCUAGCUUUGAAUAAAGGCCCAGCAAGGGGCCUCUUAGAAAUACCUUGUCACAGCUGACCUUAGGUUCACCACGGGGCUUCUUUAAGAUGGUCCGACUAAUUCAUGGUGGCCACCCCACGGCCUGUAGCUGCCUGAGACAAGAGGAUUUACUGUACCAGUUUACUGCCAGGCUGUAUCAGCUGAGAAGCAGGAAACUCUAGACCAUCUGUUUAAAAAUAAAAAUAAAACAAAAAAUUAACAGC